UACGUAGGGGGCGAGCGUUAUCCGGAUUCACUGGGUGUAAAGGGAGCGUAGACGGCCAAGCAAGCCAGGGGUGAAAGCCCGGGGCCCAACCCCGGGACUGCCCUUGGAACUGCGUGGCUGGAGUGCAGGAGGGGCAGGCGGAAUUCCUGGUGUAGCGGUGAAAUGCGUAGAUAUCAGGAGGAACACCGGUGGCGAAGGCGGCCUGCUGGACUGCAACUGACGUUGAGGCCCGAAAGCGUGGGGAGCAAACAGG
rnacentral:rRNA from 1 species